rnacentral:pre_miRNA from 18 species
UCCGAAGGACUGGAUCGGACCUCCGCUGGUUUUUCCCGCGGUGAUAUUCCGAAGCAAGUGGUUAUCACCGGGUGAAAACUGGUAGAGGUCCGAUCCAGUCGU